rnacentral:lncRNA from 1 species
GAUCAAAUUUAUUGAAAGUAAGCUCCUUACUAGAUUAAUCCUAGAGAGAGAAACUUUAGAGAAAGAGAAAAUAGACAAAAAAAAAUUCUAAAAAAAUUGUAUAACGAGAAACUAAAGAAAAGAAAUGGAGAGAAGAACUAAGAAAAAUAAGUGAAGAGAGAGGAAAGAAGAGAAACUCUCUCUCUCCAUCAUACCCCUG